UACAGAGGUCUCGAGCGUUGUUCGGAUUCAUUGGGCGUAAAGGGUGCGUAGGUGGCGCUGUAAGUCGGGUGUGAAAUCCUGAGGCUUAACCUCGGAACUGCAUUCGAUACUGCGGUGCUUGAGGACUGGAGAGGAGACUGGAAUUCAUGGUGUAGCAGUGAAAUGCGUAGAGAUCAUGAGGAAGACCAGUGGCGAAGGCGGGUCUCUGGACAGUUCCUGACACUGAGGAGCGAAAGCGUGGGGAGCGAACAGG
rnacentral:rRNA from 1 species